rnacentral:rRNA from 1 species
CAGCCGCCGCGGGAAUACGAAGGGGGCUAGCGUUGCUCGGAAUGACUGGGCGUAAAGGGCGCGUAGGCGGCAUGUACAGUCAGACGUGAAAUUCCUGGGCCUAACCUGGGGGCUGCGUUUGAUACGUGCAGGCUAGAGUGGGGAAGAGGGUUGUAGAAUUCCCAGUGUAGAGGUGAAAUUCGUAGAUAUUGGGAAGAACACCGGUGGCGAAGGCGGCAACCUGGUCCUUGACUGACGCUGAGGCGCGAAAGCGUGGGGAGCAAACAGGAUUAGAGACCCGCGUAGUCCCUGUCUCUUAUCC